UCUUCUGCAGUUUGUCAGUGGUCGCUGUCAAGAUCAAACCGCGUGGAAGUUUCGUCCUUGUUUAUCAGAGAAAUUUGUGAAAUUGCGUGAAUUAGUAGUCUGAAAAUUGUACAGCUUUCCAGCUCGUCCUCCCGGCAGCGGUUUGUGCGCGUCCCAGCCAGUCCGUGUUUCGGCAACUCGUCCUCGUUCCGGAGGGUGUGAAAGUCUCCCUCCCGGUUGUCCCAGUAGCGGCCCGCGUUUCGGCACCCAAUCACGUUCCGGAAGGUUGUUUUCGCAGCAGUGAUUUGUGCGCGUCCCAGCAGCGGCCCCGUUCCGGAGGGUCGUCCUUUCGGCAGCUGCCCGCGUUUCAGCAACUCGACCGUGUUCCUUGGGGUCCGCUCUGUCCUCCCGGAAGUAGACUUGUCAAAUAUUUCAUAUUUCUUUCAUGUAAAAUAGUAAAAAAAUAUCUUAAAAUAAAGAGAAACUUUUCAAUUUUCA